CCUACGGGUGGCAGCAGUGAGGAAUAUUGGUCAAUGGCCGGAAGGCUGAACCAGCCAUGCCGCGUGAAGGUCAGUGCCCUAUGGGUUGUAAACCUCUUUUGUCGGAGAACAAAACCCGGGACGUGUCCCGGACUGCGUGUAUCCGAAGAAAAAGCAUCGGCUAACUCCGUGCCAGCAGCCGCGGUAAUACGGAGGAUGCGAGCGUUAUCCGGAUUUAUUGGGUUUAAAGGGUGCGUAGGCGGUCCGUUAAGUCAGCGGUUAAAUUGCGGGGCUCAACCCCGUCGAGCCGUUGAAACUGGCAGACUUGAGUUGGCGAGAAGUACGCGGAAUGCGCGGUGUAGCGGUGAAAUGCAUAGAUAUCGCGCAGAACUCCGAUUGCGAAGGCAGCGUACCGGCGCCAGACUGACGCUGAGGCACGAAAGCGUGGGGAUCGAACAGGAUUAGAUACCCGAGUAGUC
rnacentral:rRNA from 1 species